GUAAUAAUUUGGUAGAUUUAAUUCCAUAGCACUUGCACAGUGAGAAAGAUAUUUUGUGAGGCAUAAAUCAGUUAGCUUGAAAUAAGUUAAAUUUAUGUGUUUCACAGAUUUGGUAUACUGUAUUUUUAAAUACAUGCUUGAUAUUUUUAUGAUGCAAGUUUAUUUAUGUAAACUUCAUAAUUUACAGUCAAUUUCCAUGGACAUUUUUGUUAAAUGAGGGAUUAUUGCCACAUCACUUAUUCCCAUAGAAUGAGUGUCAUACACAUACAUAUACAUGUAUAUCUAAAGCUUAGAUUCUGGCAAUAAAAUGGAGGUGAUCGACAUCUAAGAACCCA